rnacentral:rRNA from 1 species
GAUGAACGCUAGCGGCAGGCCUAAUACAUGCAAGUCGAGGGGCAGCACGGUUAGCAAUAACUGGUGGCGACCGGCGCACGGGUGCGUAACACGUAUACAAUCUACCUUAAACAGGGGGAUAGCCUUUCGAAAGAGAGAUUAAUACCCCGUAAUAAAUUGAACGGCAUCGUUUGAUUUUGAAAGCUCCGGCGGUUUGAGAUGAGUAUGCGUCUGAUUAGCUAGUUGGUGAGGUAACGGCUCACCAAGGCGACGAUCAGUAGGGGAUCUGAGAGGACUAACCCCCACACUGGUACUGAGACACGGACCAGACUCCUACGGGAGGCAGCAGUAAGGAAUAUUGGUCAAGUGGAGGCAACUCUGAACCAGCCAUGCCGCGUGCAGGAUGACGGCCCUAUGGGUUGUAAACUGUCUUUAUACAAGAGAAAACCCUGGUACGUGUACCAGGUU